rnacentral:tRNA from 1 species
GCAGCGGUGGCAGAGCUUGGUUUAAUGCACCGGUCUCGAAAACCGGAAACCGAAAGGUUCGAGAGUUCAAAUCUCUCCCGCUGCG